CGCCGGGGAGACUGACCUAGACACGGUGGCCUCGUCUAUUUCGCUCGAGAAUAUAUAAGUUCUUGCCCAGAAAUCCGCUUCUAGAAAAUCGCCGUUCCCGAGUUUGGCCACACGAGGGCAGUCAAGCUCCA